rnacentral:rRNA from 1 species
UGAGGAAUAUUGGUCAAUGGGCGCAAGCCUGAACCAGCCAUGUCGCGUGCAGGAAGACGGCCCUACGGGUUGUAAACUGCUUUUCUAAGGGAAGACAUGCACUACGUGUAGUACUACGACGGUACUUUAGGAAUAAGCAUCGGCUAACUCCGUGCCAGCAGCCGCGGUAAUACGGAGGAUGCAAGCGUUGUUCGGAAUUACUGGGCGUAAAGGGCAUGUAGGCGGUUUAGUAAGCUUGGCGUGAAAGACCACGGCUUAACUGUGGGGUUGCGUUGAGAACUGCUGAACUUGAGUUACGGAGAGGGAGCUAGAAUUCCUGGUGUAGGGGUGGAAUCUGUAGAGAUCAGGAAGAAUACCGAUGGCGAAGGCAAGCUUCUAGCCGAUAACUGACGCUGAGGUGCGAAAGUGUGGGGAUCAAACA